AUGGCCUGGGCCCCUCUCCUCCUCACCCUCCUGGCUCACUGCACAGGAUCCUGGGCCCAGUCUGUGCUGACUCAGCCAUCCUCAGUGUCGGGGUCCCUGGGCCAGAGGGUCACCAUCUCCUGCACUGGAAGCAGCUCCAACGUUGGGCGUGGUGACUAUGGGUCCUGGCUCCAGCAGCUCCCAGGAAAGGCCCCCAAACUCCUCAUCUAUGAGAGUAGCAAACGACCCUCAGGGGUCCCUGAUCGAUUCUCUGGCUCCAGGUCUGGCAACUCGGCCUCCCUGACCAUCACGGGGCUGCAGGCUGAGGACGAGGCCGACUAUUACUGCGAGUCAUGGGACAAUAGUCUCAGUGCUCCCACAGUGCUGCAGGCCUGUGGGGAACCGCCCUCCCUCUCUGCAUCUCCGGGAGCCAAGGCCAGACUCACCUGCACCCUGAGCCGUGGCUCCAAUGUUGGUGACUACUACAUAUCCUGGUACCAGCAGAAGCCAGGGAGCCCUUUCCGGUUUCUCCUGUCCUACUACUCAGACUCAAUUAAGGAACAGGGCUCCGGGGUCCCCAGCCGAUUCUCUGGAUCCAAAGACACAUCGGCCAAUUCGGGACUCCUGCUCAUCUCCGGUUUGAAAUCUGAGGACGAGGCUGACUAUUACUGUGCUACAGACCAUGGCAGUGGGAACAGCUACCAUUGCACACAGUGUCUCAGAUGA